UACACACUUGAGAUAUGAUUUCUUUUUUCUCACUUCUAAUAUAGAAACUUUCAUUUUAUAUUACAUAGUCACGUAGAGAAGUGGUAUGCAGCUUGUUUUUUUUUUCACAAUAAGUAGCAACGAAAAUCUCAUAUUAUGGCAGCGAUGUGUGUUUCUGUUUUUGGAGAAAGAAAAGUAUAAUUUUCCUCAAGAAUAACGUAAAGGUUAUACCACGUUUGUUUCCUCCGGGCAAUAGCAAAUCAGAGAUUUGUUUGAAGUAAAGCCAAAAUGGAAGAAUAGUAUUUCUUGGCAUACAAGGUAACGACGUGACAUUGGGGGAGGGCAAGUGAACGAUAACAUAGCUAAACGACAAAGGUGUGUGAGGCUAGUCCUUCUUUCUAAUGGCAUGAAUCCUAUAGCAUGAGUUCUUUUCCUUUUCAUGAGUUCCUAUUUUCCGGAAAGCUAGAAGCCUAAGUCCAUAAAUGUCUAUAUAAGAUAAGAGAUAUGAUAUGAUGAUGCCUUAUUGAUAAUGAUGCUAUUUAUUGCUUACACUCACCUUAUGUACUAAUUCCUUUAAGGUGAGGCAGAAUGUCAAUAAUUGCUCCAUAAUGAAAUCGGGGGAUCACGACCUUACGCCAUCCCGAUAGAGUAUAGUUGAUCUUGAGUCUUAUGCCUGUACUAUGAUAAGCAUAUUAUGAUAAGCAUAUUAUUACAAGUAUUUUUGAUGAGCAUGUCAUGAUCAUAUUACACCGCGCCUAGUUGGCCGGGCAGUCACCGCCAAGGCGGGCAGCUAUACGGAUACACCAUGACCUUUUGGCAUGGGCAGACACCACUAGUGGGGGACAUGAGACGGUACCCCGGAUGCGGGAGGCCUGGACGCGGGCUAAUGUUAUUGAUUAUCACACCGUUCCGAUAUGGACGGGCAGCUUGCAUAUUAUGCAUAUAUGAGAUUAUGAUGAGUAUGAGUAAGACAUCAUGCAUUACUUCUUUUAUGAUUGUCAUUCAGAUCCAGAUGUUUCAUAUUGAUGUUCACAUUAUAUUAUCACUGUCUUUCUUCCUUGUUUAUGCCUCUCAUACUCAGUACAAUGUUCGUACUGACGUCCGUUUUCUUUGGACGCUGUGUUCAUGCCCACAGGUAGACAGGGAGGUGAGCUUGGUGCAGACCCUUAGUAGCUGUCAGCUGAUUGAGAGCACUCCAUUGUCCGGAGGUGCUUAUGAUUCGUCUUUUGGUAUAUAUGCAUAUUUUGGGCACGACGGAGUCUUGUUCCGUCUAUAUGUUUAGUAUGUCAGUAGAGGCUCGUAGAUACGCAGUGUGGGUCAGAUGGUCUCACAAGAUGUUAUUAUUAUGUAUAUAUUAUUUUGAUGGCCGGGAGGCAAAUGUAUAUAAGUAUUUAGGUUUCUAUAUAAAAUAUGAUUUUCCUACAAUUCGUGUAUAAAAUUGGUAAAAGAGCAUUAAAUGAGUAAGAUGAGUAUUAGAGCGAGUGGUGCUCGGUGGCUAGCCCCGGGUACCUGUCACGGUCCCUAGCUGGGUCGUGACAUUAUCGCAAUUUCAUAACGACACAAACGGAGGAGGAGUUACCACAAAAUACUCUCAAAUCCUUGAAGGUUCUGCUUUUGAUCCAUUUCAAUCUGUUCCUGAAAUAUUACAUAAUGGAGUGCAGACCUGCAUGAUGCAGUUUAGAGUGAAAAGUAUGGAUUGACAGAUAAAUUACGAGGAUACAUUUUCAAACUAGAGGUAGAGUCUCUGACCGCGUGCAUAAGCGCUCAGGCGUGUGACAAAACUUAAGAUGCAUUUUUUUAGGCUCAAAGUUUGGCACAAGAAUUUUGGUAAGGAACUUUUAAUACCUCUGUUUCUUUGGGCAGUUUAUGCAUAUUAGAAUUGAUACAUUGAUUAAAAUCAGUCUUCUUUUUGUACAAAGGAAAAAUUGCCACACACUCUUUUAGAGGCAUUUUUUUCUUAUUGAGUUUUUCAUCUAACUUUGUAUUUAUAUAUAAUGAGAUUAAUUGAGAUGUGUGUUGUAGACACUAUCGUUGGUUCAUCUACGCUUGAGGUAUUAGAUUCUUUGGCUUUUUAUCUUAGUAAUUUUCUGGGAAACAUUUUUGAAUAAGACACCUACUCAGUGUCAACAGAGAUAGUCUUGAUAGAUUGCUGAGAGAUGCAUCUUUGCAUAUACAGUAUAAGACACGGUUGUCGGGAAUCAUUUGAUUCUUUACUUACAUGAGGCAGAAUAGAAUCUACAUUAAAAAGCAUUCUAGCAGGUUGUCCAGGCUUAGAUUGCCCAGAUAGUGGGGACAACACAACAAAACAUAUAUUUGGUGAAGUAGUACUAGUAUGGGGAAGCAAUGGGUGAUGAUCUCCAAAGGCUAUAUCUUGAUGGCAACAGAUUGCAGGGCAGAUUCAUAUGGAGUUAUAACAACAAAUAUGGACAGUGAUGCUUUAGAAGAUUAACUGAGCAGCCAGUUAAAAACUUGGCAAAGAAACUGUAAGAGGCGGAAGAUUAUGAAGCAUAUAUACUAGAGUAUUACCGAAGACUUAAAGAGUUCUUGAUCGGAGAUUCUUCACUGCGGCAUUUGUAACUAUUAGAAUGAGCACCUAUGCAAUGUUGGGGAGUACCAAGCAAUCAACCCCCUGCCCUUCAUUACCUACUAUCAGAAGGUUGGCAACAUUGUCAAGGAUGAGACGGUCUUCUUAACAGCUGUUCUAUUACUAGGAUAUUCUUUUCCGUUAUAGCAUACAUUUUCAAGUACUGUUAUGUGCAUAUGAAAUGGAUUCUGCAUCAUUUAGCCCCAGAACACUCAUCUCCUUCAAGGAGCUGGAGUAGAGAUAUCAACAUGGGCAGCGAGUAAGGCUAGCAACGAAUCCCAACUCUUGCGAAUUUGUCUUGAGUGUUGGUGUGGAGAUUGGAUGCAUCAAGUAUUUUCUAUUAUGCAGGUUAAAGCGGGCAUAACAUAAUGUAAGGCUUUGGGUGCUUUGUUUCUUUUAUAAGUACACAUUUCCUUGAAGGGAAAUUUCCACUUUGUUAAAGCUAGACUCCAGAAUUAUAUUGCUCAUUCACCUUUUUUGACCAAAUACCGACAAUCCAAUGACUUGGUUGUUCACUUUAACUUUUUACAUAAUGGAGGGGUACACAGAUAUUCCUUUGUUA